UUUCCUCCCCACCAGUAACUUUAAAAGUGUAGCUUAGAAAGAAAGAAAGAAAAACCAUUUUCAGUAGACACAAUUCCUGGAUGCUUGCAAACCCUGUUCCUAUUGAGUACUACACACCUGUGUCGUAUACACAGCUUAGCUUUAAAACUGUCACAUACCAUUACCACUUUGCCUUUACUUUUAUGUAUCGUUCCCCUGACUUCCUUACUGCAGGUGUGGGCAAGAAAGCUUUUCCUUUAAAACUUUUCAACAGUGGGCAUAAAAUUCUGCAGCUGAGGUCUUGAAGAAUGCAGAUGGGUAUAGUAUAUGUUGGAGCUCGCAGUGUGUAUUGACUAACUUUGUUUCUUUUUUUAUUUUUAUUUAUUUUUUCUUUUUUUUUGCUUUUCUGAUACUGUCUUGUUGAAGUGGCUCCUGAGUGUAAAAUGUCUCCUGAGGGCGGGAGGAGGGUGGGAAGUGCGCCUCGUGCUCCGGGCCGACACCUACGAGAUGCAGCAUUUCACGGCCUUGGAAAACACACUGCAGACUUGGUAUUGAGACCAAAUGGACUGAUGUCUUAAUCAUCAGAUUAGCAAAUAGUAGUUGCCUAUAAAAAGAAAAAAAAAUCCAAAACAAUCAAACCCAACUGCCCAGCACAGCCUUAUUUUGUGAUUCAUGGCCCUCUGCUAGCUUGGGUUUCAGUAUCUCCUGCCCCUUCAUUAUGGCAAAAUAAAAGGGGGGAUAAAACAACCAAAAGUGUUGGCUCUGAGCCAGACUGUCUGUCUCCUUUUCCUCUUUGGGCUGUGCAGUCUCUUUAUAUGGAUGACAGGCCUUGGACAUUACUUGGCUCGCCAACACUGUGUUUAACAUGGUGUAUGAUGAAUAAAUGCUAAAGUGGUAUUUGCUGCCAAUUACAAGUUUUCCAGAAUAUCCUGUCACCCUCCAAGUAAUUCUAGGGAGCAGGAACACCAAGUAUUUUAAUCUGCAUAUUGAGGUGAAAUGAUCAUACCAACAUUUCUGUUCUCCUGUCAGUAUUCUAAUGUCUCCUUAUUUAAAACCACAAAUGAAUUUCAGGAGAUGAAACCAGGCAAAGGGUGAAGUUUACAGACGAUCGUGUCUGCAAGAGCCACCUCCUGGAUUGCUGUCCUCAUGAUAUCCUGGCAGGAACAAGAAUGGACCUGGGAGAGUGUACAAAGAUCCAUGACUUGGCACUGAGAGCAGAUUAUGAGAUUGCAAGUAAAGAGAGAGAUCUGUUUUUUGAGCUGGAUGCUAUGGAUCACCUGGAGUCCUUCAUUGCGGAGUGUGACAGGAGAACUGAACUGGCCAAAAAGCGCCUGGCUGAGACGCAGGAAGAGAUCAGUGCUGAAGUGUCUGCGAAGGCAGAGAAGGUGCAUGAACUGAACGAAGACAUUGGAAAACUCCUAGCUAAAGCUGAACAGCUGGGUGCUGAAGGGAAUGUUGAUGAGUCUCAGAAGAUCCUGAUGGAAGUGGAAAAAGUCCGAGCAAAAAAGAAAGAGGCAGAGGAAGAAUACCGAAAUUCAAUGCCUGCAUCCAGCUUCCAACAGCAAAAGCUGCGUGUGUGUGAAGUCUGUUCAGCAUAUCUUGGUCUCCAUGACAACGACCGGCGUCUUGCUGACCACUUUGGAGGCAAAUUACACUUGGGUUUCAUUCAGAUUCGUGAGAAACUGGAUCAGCUGAGGAAAACAGUGGCAGAAAAGCAAGAGAAGAGAAACCAGGAUCGUUUGAGACGGAGAGAAGAGAGGGAACGAGAGGAGAGGAUGGGCAGGCGGUCUGGAUCGAGAAAUAGAGAUCGUCGAAGAUCCCGGUCUCGAGACAGGAGGCGAAGGCGCUCGAGGUCGGUGUCCCGUGAGCGGCGGAAGUCCCGCUCCAGGUCCCGAGACCGACACAGGCGCCACCGGAGCCGCUCCCGCAGCCACAGCAGAGGCCACCGCCGGGGCUCCAGAGACAGGAGUUCCAAACACAAAAAAGAAGUUUGGACAAUUAGGAAGUGAGGAAGACCCUGUAAUAACUAUUACUAAAGAGCAGGAUGUUAAAGACUGCGCUUGUCAAGAUGCAAAGUGACAAAAGCCCAGGACUGAGCAAGCCUUUGAAUGUGAAGAAUACAGUUGGCAUUUAAAGCAAUUGAGCAGAAGGCCACUAGCUUAGAGCAUCUUCUAGGGAUCGAUCUUCAAGAGAGAAGUCACGAGACAGAGAGAGGAAAGAGAAGAGCUCUUCUGAGAGGCGGCACGAGAGCACAAAUGG